rnacentral:misc_RNA from 1 species
UCCGGUUUGUCACCGGCAGUCUCCCUAGAGUUCCCGACCGAAUCGCUGGCAAAUAGGGACAAGGGUUGCGCUCGUUACGGGACUUAACCCAACAUUUCACAACACGAGCUGACGACAGCCAUGCACCACCUGUGUUCCCGCCAGCCGAACUGAAGGAUGCCGUCUCCAGCACCCAUACGGGACAUGUCAAGGGUUGGUAAGGUUCUGCGCGUUGCUUCGAAUUAAGCAACAUGCUCCGCCGCUUGUGCGGGCCCCCGUCAAUUCCUUUGAGUUUCAGCCUUGCGGCCGUACUCCCCAGGCGGGGCACUUAAUGCGUUAGCUGCGACACCGAAUCCGUCUAUAGACCCGGCAUCUAGUGCCCAUCGUUUACGGCGUGGACUAC